GCCAAUGUGGUGCAGUGGUUUGAACAUUAGACUGUGACUCUGGACACCAGGGUUUAAUUCCUUGCUUGGCCA